GCGCUCGUAGCUCAGUUGGAUAGAGUACCUGGCUACGAACCAGGUGGUCGGGAGUUCGAAUCUCUCCGAGCGCACCA
rnacentral:tRNA from 3 species